rnacentral:rRNA from 1 species
CGUGCCUUUCGGUUCGGAAUAACCCAGGGAAACUUGGGCUAAUACCGGAUACGCCCUUCGGGGGAAAGAUUCAUCGCCGAAAGAUCGGCCCGCGUCGGAUUAGCUAGUUGGUGGGGUAAUGGCCCACCAAGGCGACGAUCCGUAGCUGGUCUGAGAGGAUGACCAGCCACACUGGGACUGAGACACGGCCCAGACUCCUACGGGAGGCAGCAGUGGGGAAUAUUGGACAAUGGGCGAAAGCCUGAUCCAGCCAUGCCGCGUGGGUGAAGAAGGCCUUAGGGUUGUAAACCCCUUUCAGCGGGGAAGAUAAUGACGGUACCCGCAGAAGAAGUCCCGGCUAACUCCGUGCCAGCAGCCGCGGUAAUACGGAGGGGACUAGCGUUGUUCGGAAUUACUGGGCGUAAAGCGCACGUAGGCGGAUUUGUAAGU